GAUGAACGCUAGCGAUAGGCUUAACACAUGCAAGUCGAGGGGAAACGGCAUUAUGUGCUUGCACAUUUUGGACGCCGACCGGCGCAUGGGUGAGUAUCACGUAUCCAACCUGCCCUUUACUACUGGAUACCCCGUUGAAAGACGCCCGAAUACCCGACGUAAUUCAUUGAUGGCAUCAGAUAUGAAUAAAAGAUGUAUCUGGAAAGGAUGGGGAUGCGUCUGAUUAGCUUGUUGGUGAGUUAACGGCUCACCAGGGCGACGAUCAGUAGGGGUUCUGCGAGGAAGGUGCCCCACAUUGGGACCGGGACACGUGCCAAACUCCUACGGGAGGCAGCAGUGCGGGAUAUUGGAGUAUGGGAGCAAGCAUGAUCCAGCCAAGUAUCGUGCAGGAAGACGGCCCUCUGGGUUGUAACCUGCUUUUAGACGAGCAUAAUUUGAUGCACGUGUGCGUUAUUGAAUGUAUCGUAUGAAUAAGGACCGGCUAAUUCCGUG
rnacentral:rRNA from 1 species